UACGUAGGGACCGAGCGUUGUCCGGAAUCAUUGGGCGUAAAGAGCGUGUAGGCGGCCACUUAAGUCCUGCGUGAAAUCUUGCGGCUCAACCGCAAGCGGUCGUGGGAAACUGGGUGGCUAGAGUGCGGGAGAGGAGAGUGGAAUUCCUGGUGUAGCGGUGAAAUGCGCAGAUAUCAGGAGGAACACCGGUGGCGAAGGCGGUUCUCUGGGCAUUACCUGACGCUGAGGAGCGAAAGUGUGGGGAGCGAACAGG
rnacentral:rRNA from 1 species